GAGUUUUUGGUUGUGCUACAUAUGCACAUCAAGUUGAGGGAAAAUUAGACCCGAGGGCUACCAAGUGUGUUAUGUUUGGAUACCCUGAAGGGGUUAAAGGGUACAGGUUAUGGGUACUUGGUAUUAAAGGAAUAAAAAUCAUUAACAGCAGAAAUGUGGUGUUUAAUAAAACUCAGAUGCCUUGUUUGAAGAGUAAUAUGGAUAAAUCAGAUCUGGCUGAAAAGGGUACUUCCCAAAGUGAGGUGAAGUUGGCAAAAUUAAAUAACAGCAGAUCUGAUGUAACUGAAUCAGAACCUGUACAAGUCAUUGAAAGUAUAGAAAAUACUGAUGAAGGUGAAGUUGAUCCAUCCCAAACUGGAACUGAAACAGAAUCUGAAACAAUGGCAUCUAACUACCCAGAAAAUGAACCUAGUACCAAAGAUUAUCAAUUGGUGAGAGAUAGGGACAGGAGACAGAUUAAACCUAACCCUAGGUAUGAAAUGAAUAAUCUGACUGAAUUUGCCCUCAUCUCUGGUGAAAACUUAGAACAUUCUUAACCCUUUUCUUAUGAAGAAGCAAUGAAUAGUUCUAAGUCAAAAGAAUGGAAAGAAGCAAUGAAAGAAGAAAUGAAAUCCCUUCUUGAAAAUAAAACCUAGAAACUUGUAAAGAAGCCAAAGAACCAAAGAGUGGUUCAGUGUAAGUGGAUCUUUAAGUUGAAGGAAGGUAUUUCUGAAUCUGAUCCUUUGAGGUAUAAGGCAAGGCUUGUAGCCAAAGGGUUCGCUCAAAGGGAGGGAGUUGAUUACAAUGAAAUUUUUUCACCUGUAAUCAAAUAUAAAACCAUAAGGCUCAUUUUGGCUCUAGUUGUUCAAUUUGAUUGGGAAUUAGAACAAUUAGAUGUGAAAACUGCCUUUUUACAUGGGGAAUUGGAAGAGGACAUUUAUAUGUGUCAACCUCAAGGUUUCGAAGAAAGGGGGAAAUCUGAUUUUGUUUGUAAAUUGCAAAAAUCACUGCAUGGACUGAAACAAAGUCCAAGACAGUGGUAUAUAAGGUUUGACACAUGUUUUGAAAAUUGAUUUUAGAAGGAGUGAAUAUGAUCACUGUUUAUACUAUAAUAAUUCUAAAACCAGGUCUAAAACGGAUCUACUACUCUACGUAGAUGAUAUGCUUCUUACCAGCCCCAGUAAAGCUGAAAUAAUGAGGCUGAAAAACCUAUUAUGGUCUGAAUUUGAUAUGAAGGACUUAGGAAAUGCCAAGAAAAUUUUAGGGAUGGUGAUAAACCGAAAUAGGCAAGAAAACAUGCUAACCAUAUCACAAGAACCCUACCUGCACAAAGUUAUAACGAAGUUUGGCAUGAAAGAAGCUAAGUCCGUCAAUGUUCCCCUUGCUGCCCAUAUGAAUCUCUCAUCAGCCCAGUGUCCAAAAACUGAAUCUGAAAUUAAAGAUAUGACAAAUAUCCCAUAUGCCAAUGCAAUUGGAUCUGUUAUGUUUUCCAUGAUUACAACACGACCAGAUCUUGCAUAUUCAAUCAGUUUUUUAAGUAGGUUUAUGGCAAACCCUGGAAAACCACAUUGGGCUGGGUUAAAGUGGCUACUUAGAUACAUAGUUGGGACACUAAAUGUAGGAUUGGUGUUCAAAAAGGGAUCGAAACCAUUAACUCUUAAAGGAUAUGUGGAUUCCGAUUUCGCUGGAGAUAAAGAUCAAAGAAAGUCUACAACUGCCUUCUUUUUUACACUUGGUGAUAAUUGUAUUACGUGGAAGUCUCAACUUCAAUCAAUUGUAACUUUGUCUAGCACUGAAGCUGAAUAUGUGGCAAUUACUGAAUGUGUAAAAGAAUGCAUGUGGCUUAAAGGGAUCUUAACUGAACUGAAUUUUCUAAAUACUCCACCUGUGAUAUUAACUGAUAGUCAAAGUGCUUUACUUUUAAGCAAAAAUCCUGUCUAUCAUGAAAGGUCAAAACACAUUGAGGUGAAGUAUCAUUUCAUAAGACAAAACUCUCAUCUGGCGAAAUGGCUCUUGAGAAAAUUCAUACUGAUUUUAAUCCUGCUGAUAUGGGGACUAAAAUACUGACUGUUAAUAAAUUCAGAUCUUGUUUAUCAUUGCUUAAUAUUGAUACAG
rnacentral:lncRNA from 1 species